ACAUUUUUAGUCUUUAUUUUUUAAGUAAAUUCCAUUGAAUCAAAUAUAACAAAAUUACAGUUUUUGUUUGUAAUGAUCUUUGUUCACCACCACACAAUCAUAGUAGAAUCGAAAGGAAUAUGAGAACAUAAAAUGAUCAAGGACAUCAUUGUUUAGUAUAAUUUCUUAUUAAAGGUAAAUAUCCCCAUAUUUAGAAAAAAUUGCAUUGCUAGUUGCAAAUCUUAAACACCUCAAUGCUGAAGGAGCCUGCAUUUCCCCCGCAAAGAUCCAGCAGCACAGAGGCUUUCAGAACACAAACUCAAAAAUAUAGUAUUUUCAGGGCAGCAUUUUAAGUUUCAGAAAACCCAAACAAAACAAAACAAAAUCAGAACUAGGAAUGUGAAAGUGAUGGUUCUCAAAAAGUCAAUCUGGAAGCAGAUCUGCCAACAUAAGAAUGUGGUUGAACAGAGUCUAACCAGGAAAAGGAGAGAUGCAAACUCGCUCCCCCUCCCUCCUCACCAUCGUCCCCCGACCCCAGCGAGCAAACCGCCUCCCUGCUGUGCUGUCUCUCUGAUGGAGUCCACCUCCGGGGCCAUGGCGAAGCACGAGCAGGUCCUGGUCCUCGACCUGCCCACAGACCUCAAAUUCAAAGGCCCCUUCACAGAUGUAGUCACUAUAAAUCUUAAAUUGCGAAAUCCAUCGGAUAGAAAAGUGUGUUUCAAAGUGAAGACUACAGCGCCUCACCGGUACUGAGUGAGGCCCAACAGUGGAAUUAUUGACCCAGGGUCAACUGUGACUGUUUCAGUAAUGCUACAGCCCUUUGACUAUGAUCCGAAUGAAAAGAGUAAACACAAGUGUAUGGUACAAUUUUUGCUCCACUGAACACUUCAGAUAUGGAAAUUGUGUGGAAAGAGGCAAAACCUGACGAAUUAAUGGAUUCCAAAUUGAGAUGUGUAUUUGAAAUGCCCAAUGAAAAUGAUAAAUUGAAUGACAUGGAACCUAGCAAAGCUGUUCCACUGAAUGCAUCUGAACAAGAUGGACCCAUGCCAAAACCACACAGUGUUUCACUUAAUGACACCGCAACAAGGAAACUAAUAGAAGAGUGUAAAAGACUUCAGGGAGAAAUGGUGAAGCUAUCAGAAGAAAAUCGACACCUGAGAGAUGAAGGUUUAAGGCUCAGAAAGGUAGCACAUUCGGAUAAACCUGGAUCAACCUCAACUGCAUCCUUCAGAGAUGUCACCAAUCCUCUUCCUUCACUUCUUGUUGUAACUGCAGCCAUUUUCAUUGGAUUCUUUCUUUUUUGGAGACGGAGUCUCACUCUUGUCCCCCAGGCUGGAGUGCAGUGGCAUGAUCUCGGCUCACUGCAACCUGUCUCCUGGGUUCAAGCAAUUCUCCCACCUCAGCCUCCCUAGUAGCUGGGAUUACAGGCGCCCACCACCACACCCAGCUAAUUUUUGCAUUUUUAGUAGAGACGGGGUUUCACCGUGUUGGCCAGGUUGGUCUCGAACUCCUAACCUCAGGCGAUCCACCUGCCUCGGCCUCCAAAGUGCUGGGAUUACAGGCGGGAGCCACCAUGCUCGGCCUUCAUUGGAUUCUUUCUAGUGAAAUUCAUCUUCUAGAGUGAAGCAUACAAAGUGCUAUUUCCUUUUUUUUUUCUUGACCAGAAAAAGAUUCGUUUACCUACUAUUUCAUUGGUAGUAUGGCCUGCAGUGACCAUUUUCUUUUGUGUGUGUACAGCGCCAUAUAGGCUUUGCGUUUAAUGAUCUCUUACGGUUAGAAAACACAAUAAAAACAAACUGUUUGGCUACUGGACAAAUUGUAUAUUACCAGAUCAUCACUAGCAGGUUUCAGUUGCACAUUCAGUCCUUUAUGAAAUUCAUAAAGAAUUGUUCUGGGAAGUGGGGAGCGCCUCUGCCCAGCCCCCAUCCUGUCUGGGAAGUGAGAAGCCUUUCUGCUUGGCCGCCCACCCUCUGGGAAGUGAGGAGCGCUUCUGCCAGGCCCCUGCCCCAUCUGGGAAGUGAGGAGGGCCUCUGCCUGGGGGCUGCCCAUCUGGGGUGAGAAGCGCACCUGGCUGGCCGCCCACCCUCUGGGAAGUGAGGAGCGCCUCUGCCCAGCUGUCCCACCAUCUUGGAAGUGAGGCGCACCUCUGCCCGGCCCCUGCCCUGUCUGGGAAGUGAGGAGUGUCUCUGUCCAGCCACUGUACCUUCUGGGAAGUGAGGAGCGCCUCUGCCUGGCUGCUGCACUGUCUGGGAAGUGAGGAGCGCCUCUGCCUGGCUGCUGCACUGUCUGGAAAGUGAGGUGCGUCUCUGCCUGGCCACCCACCAUCUGGGAAGUGAGGUGCGUCUCUGCCUGGCUGCUGCACUGUCUGGGAAGUGAGGUGCGUCUCUGCCGCCCGCUGCCCCGUCUGGAAAGUGAGGAGCGCCUCUGCCCAGCUGCUGUGCAACCCUCCAAGUGUGAAGUGACAGCCUUAUGUGUGAUCUUUUUGCUCUCCCCAAGUUUGCAUUUUCGACAUUAAUAAUAGUUUACUUUUUAAAUAAAAGUUUUAAAUUGGAGAAUAAAAAAAAACUAACUUCAGCUUCUUAUUAUUUGAGAUGCAUGAAAGCUCUACCCACAUACAUGCUAGGAAAAACAGUUCAGAAAACACGGGGGACUGACUCUUCCAAAAGAAGCAGCUGUCUACUCUGCAGCCUACUUCCAAGGGCCACUGUAAGAGGAAGCCUGGGCUGCAGCAUUCAGAGGGAGCAGCAGCAGAGACGGGAAGGAAGCAGGCCUUGCCUUGUGUGGCAUUCCAGUUCCCUCUGUCAGCAGGGGCCAGAUCCCCCUUCCUUAGCUUCAACUACAAUUUGGCAAAAGCAAUUCUAGGGUAACUGGGGGCAGUAGGGGCGUAAGGGGUUUACUUCCCUCUGCUUAGAUAACAGAGGUAGAAGAAACACUUUCCAUCAAUUGCUUGGCCUCUAAAUGCCACAGGCAGGCUACUUUUCAUGGCUUUUCAAAGCAUCCAAGCAAUCCAAAGUGGCUCUGAACAGCAGAGUAAGGCCAAGAAGGGUAAAAAGGGGCCAGAGCUGAGGUGUUUGGGCCAGUUCUGGAUCACUCAUAUUGUUGAGGGAGGGAUGGGAGCAUAAGAUAACAAGGAGCCUCAGUCCACUUGAGGAAAUUCUCUGGUUUUGCUGCAGUUUCGCUUCAAACUUCCACAGCGGAAGAAUUUGAAUUCUAAUGCCACAAUAUUGUUGUAAUACCAGGGAUUCUCUAGAGGCAAGUUAAGGCUUUCUGGGCAAAGAAAACAAUUCCAGAUGAUAUUGUGACAGAAUGCUACAGUGAAAUGCUUCUUAAUGACUCUCCUGUCCUGCCUAAAGGACAAAGACCUAUGAGUGACUUCAACUUGACGUGAUGUUUCAGUGAUCUUUACUUCAGCUCUAAGUCGGAAUCAAUGGCACAGGAAAAGAAAAGCCUCUUACAUCUCAGACAUCUGCUUGCCGAGCAAACACAAACAAGAACACGUGUAUUGUUUCUCAGGAGCUGGCAAAAUAGAUCUCAAGUCACACAGUUACAAAGAGAGCUCUCAUUCAGAUGCCGGGCAUAUAAGCUCAGCUACCCAGAAAGUUCAGCUUUAAUGAAGACUGUAGUUUUAGAAUGAAAGCCUGAGCAGGAAGGAUUUCUGCCCUGGGAAUUCUCAAUGCUCUGCCUGAGUCACACUGGAGGAUGGAGAUAGGCUCCUCAUUCCAGCGGCCAGCACCUGCCACAGUCACAAGACCACCCUCAGAAUAGCAAGGAUCUUACGAUGACAAUGGGGACUCUGAAGAGAAGCCAGUCAAAGACACAGGGCUUUGGACAAGAUCAAGGGUCUUCACCACGAAAGCUUAAUGCAGAAGCCCCCUCCCUCCAAGUCCCCUCAGCAUGAGCCUUGAGCCUUGACAUAGUUGUUUCCACCUGCAAGGGCUGGAGAAGCCAAGUUCACACAGAUGUUCAGCAAUGUUCAAGCAAAUGAUGUGUAAAUAGAUUCGAUGGUCUUAGAGAUGGUCUAAGAGGAGGGAACAGGCUCAGAGAGGUGAGGUGAUUUGCCCAUGAUCCAAUGUGAAUUACAGACCAUUAGGACAAGAACUUAGGUAUAUUUCCACUCUUAUGGUGACCCAUAAGGGUCCCAGUAAGCGUAAAAUGCUGCAGAGAGGAGAAUAUUGCAACCAACAGCUUUCUGCUUUCACUCUGCUCUGGAAUCAUUCGUGUAAACUCACAGCAGGAAAAGAUAACAGUUUUCUUCAAGUCUGUUAAACUCACUUCUAACAUAAAAACAUUAAAGAAACUUGACACAAUUUUUUGAGUCAGUUAAACCUAAUUUGACUGGAAUCAGUUACUUAUAAGUAUCUUCAAAUUGCUUAUGAGACACAGAGUACUACAGGAGAGAUGUGGGUGCUUCUCCCCAUUGGUUUUUAACACAUUAUUCCUGCAAUGGAAUUGUCCGGUUGAUGCAAUUUAUAACCUCAAUUUGAUUCUAAAAUAUAACAUUCAAAUACUCUUUAAAAAUUCAGCCUUGUUUUCGCCCAAAUAGAACCUUACUAGCAAAAGGGGGAUUCAUAUAAUCGUCAGAAAUGAAUGACUUUGGGAAGAAAGGCAAGGACACCUGGAGGAAGGAAAAAGGAUGACCUAUCUAUAAACUGCCACUCCCUCAUUUAUCAGGCAAGUUUGCAGCUCUGUAAAUUCAAUGCCUCUGUGCUCUCAUUCAGGGACAAACAAGAAUUCUCCUGUAAGACAGCCACAGUCACAUUCGCAUUUCCAUGCCUAAGAGCCUGAAGCUUGAACAAAGGGCUUCAGUUAAUUUCAUGUGAGCCAAAAUGGAAUGUGAGUGCCAUUCAGAGUCACACACUAAAAAGAUUUCAGCUGGGACACUGGCUCCCACAGUCCUGGGGGAGCAAAUUCCGGUUGUGUAGCAACAAAGGCUAUGCUGCCAGCCCUGCCUGUCCUCCACAGGGGCCACCAGGACUGCCAUGCAGACCAGGCUCCACCCUCCCCCACACCGGUUUGUGUGACAACAGGGCUGUCUUUUCUCUUCCCAAAUUUCUGAAGGGUGCUAGUACCUGGGCCAGCCACUAUGUUGUCAGAAUAGAUUAAGGGGUGUGGCCUCAGGCAUAUGAAAGGAGCCUCUCGCUCUUCUGUGGUGGUGAUUCAAUCCUAGGAUGUUAUUGCUUGGUUUACCUAUUCUCAUAAAAAGCCUUGAGAAAUGAAGGUAGUAGUGGCAGAAAUAUGACUAUCAAUCGUCAGGAUCACAGCUGUAGUUGGGUGAAGGGAAAAGUAACAGAGGAGAGGGAAUAGCUUCCAAAUUGAGGGGUAAAGUGCCAGUUUGUGCUAAAA